GACGGAACCCGUGCGAACGUUGUUCGGAUUCACUGGGCUUAAAGGGCGCGUAGGCGGGCAAGUAAGGUCUAGGGUGAAAUCUUUCGGCUCAACCGGAAAAGUGCCUUAGAUACUGCUUGUCUAGAGGGAGAUAGGGGUUGCUGGAACUUCCGGUGGAGCGGUGAAAUGCGUUUGAUAUCGGAAGGAACGCCGGUGGCGAAAGCGAGCAACUGGACCUCUUCUGACGCUGAGGCGCGAAAGCUA
rnacentral:rRNA from 1 species